rnacentral:rRNA from 1 species
UACGUAGGGUGCGAGCGUUAAUCGGAAUUACUGGGCGUAAAGGGCGCGUAGGCGGCAUUCUAAGUCAGACGUGAAAUCCCCCGGCUUAACCUGGGAACUGCGUCUGAUACUGGGAGGCUUGAGUAUGGGAGAGGGAUGUAGAAUUCCAGGUGUAGCGGUGAAAUGCGUAGAUAUCUGGAGGAAUACCGGUGGCGAAGGCGGCAUCCUGGACCAUUACUGACGCUGAGGCGCGAAAGCUAGGGGAGCAAACGGG